UACAGAGGUCCCGAGCGUUGUUCGGAUUCACUGGGCGUAAAGGGUGCGUAGGUGGCUUGAAAAGUUUGAUGUGAAAGCUCAGGGCUUAACCCUGAAAUGGCAUUGAAUACUGUCGGGCUGGAGGUUUGGAGGGGGGACUGGAAUUCCUGGUGUAGCAGUGAAAUGCGUAGAUAUCAGGAGGAAUACCGAUGGCGAAGGCAGGUCUCUGGGCUAUAACUGACGCUCAUGCACGAAAGCGUGGGGAGCAAACAGG
rnacentral:rRNA from 1 species